rnacentral:rRNA from 1 species
GCAACGAGCGCAACCCUUAUCAAUAGUUGCCAGCGGUUCGGCCGGGCACUCUAUUGAGACUGCCGUUGACAAAACGGAGGAAGGUGGGGAUGACGUCAAGUCCUCAUGGCCUUUAUGUCCAGGGCUACACACGUGCUACAAUGGCGAGUACAAAGCGCUGCAAACCUGCAAGGGGGAGCCAAUCGCAAAAAGCUCGUCUCAGUUCGGAUUGAAGUUGACUUCCUUCAUGAAGCUGGAAUCGCUAGUAAUCGCAGA